UAAAUACCCCAGCAUGGCGUAGGCAUGGGCUCCAGCACCCCAAGGGACCUGGAGGACUGGUUCCCAGGUAGCACAUCGUGAAGUCUACUUGGCACCCGGUUCACUCCUCAUGAACAGUCACAGCUCCUCACAACCUAAUCCACAACGGAGGGAAGCCGGCCUUGCUAAGUUGCUGGAAGCUGUCCGAAUGGCUCAGAUUCACCAGCUCCCAAGGGAUUCUAGUACACAGCCAAGGUUAAGAAUUCCUGCGGUCAGGCAAGGAAAUUUCCCCAUUCUCCUGCUCCAGAAUCUCCAAUGGCUGUCUUCUGCCUACUGAAUUAAAAGAUGAUACCAGUUAACACAUUCGGCUCUACAAGUUUCAAAGUGCUUCCAAAUGCAUUUGAUCAUCAAAGUACCAGAUGAGGGUAGAGAUUUCAUAGGUAAGGAAACAGGUGUUAAUAGAUGUGAAGCUACUCACCUGAGGUUCAUCAACUGGUGGAGCCAUGGCCUUGACCUAGACACCUCUAUAAUUUUCAAAAUGCUGUAUUUUAAAAUUGCAAACAAAAGAAGCAUGGUAUUCAACAACAGAAAGAAGAUGCGUGUUCCUGCUCUACGUGGUAUGGGCAAGCAUCAGGCUAUGAAGGCCCAGCAAGGGUUCUUCUUUACAUCCACAAAUUCCAAACACCCAGAAAAUUCCACUGAGGGUAAAAUGACAGCUAGGCCCCUGCAGGUCAAAAUAGAAGUCCAUUUCUCUGGUAUGUCCUGUCUGAAAAGGAGCCAUAUAUGGUAAAGAUGUGGAUAGGAGAUUGCUCUGCCGUAGGGAAGCCCAUUGCCCUGGGCAGGGGAGAGCUGGUGCUGAUCCUGUCACUGACUGUGCGGCCACAGAUCAUUCAGUUUCUCUAAGAACCAUGCUCCCCAUCUGUAAAAGAGAUGUAACAUCUGCCCUGCCUACCUCACAGGCCCAUUGUGGGGUUAAAUAAA